GACGAACGCUGGCGGCGUGCCUAAUACAUGCAAGUCGAGCGGACCACUUCGGUGGACAGCGGCGGACGGGUGAGUAACACGUGGGCAACCUGCCUGUAAGACGGGGAUAACACCGGGAAACCGGUGCUAAUACCGGAUAAUUCUUUCCUUCACAUGAAGGAAAGCUGAAAGACGGUUUCGGCUGUCACUUACAGAUGGGCCCGCGGCGCAUUAGCUAGUUGGUGAGGUAACGACUCACCAAGGCGACGAUGCGUGGCCGACCUGAGAGGGUGAUCGGCCACACUGGGACUGAGACACGGCCCAGACUCCUACGGGAGGCAGCAGUAGGGAAUCUUCCGCAAUGGACGAAAGUCUGACGGAGCAACGCCGCGUGAGCGAUGAAGGCCUUCGGGUCGUAAAGCUCUGUUGUCAGGGAAGAACAAGUACCGGAGUAACUGCCGGUACCUUGACGGUACCUGACCAGAAAGCCACGGCUAACUACGUGCCAGCAGCCGCCGUAACAC
rnacentral:rRNA from 1 species